CGUGGAUGUAGAGAUUCUCCCUCUUCGAAAUUUCUCAUCUACGCAAUCGUAAUCAGGCGAUUUUCCGAUCUCUGUUGACACACUUGAACUGACUUGAGAAGCUUCUUCACGCUGUGAUCCGCUCGAAUUUCUUUGAAGGACCUAGGCAUUCACAAACAUCUGGACUGAAGCUGACGUUAGCUGUGAGAAAACUUGGUUAUUAGCUCACCCCACCGUCCUCUUCAUUCUUGUAAGUUGCUCCUCCUAUGGAUACUUUCCAGUUUCUAUGCUGGUUGCAGGGGCAUUAUCAAAGUUCCUUAAAUGUUUUCACUCCUUCAGAGUUGGUGCUUUUGGAAAUGAUUGAUUUUGUUAUUUCAAUUGCAAAAAAUACACCUUCCCUAACGUAAGUGGAUUACUUUUGCUCUUUCUUUUCAGUAGGUUCCUACCAUCACAAAAAGAAGGGGGGGGGGGGGGGGGGGGAGAAUGUAACAGAGAUUGCAACUGUUGUUGCCAUUAGAACCACAUUUUUACAUUUCAAUGAUGCCAUUAUUGUGCAUACUGCUUCCAACCUCCUUUAGAUAAUUGUGCAUACUGCAACAAUACUGAAUUCUGUUGAAAUAGUUGUCUGGUUUAUUGGUUAGUUUGCUCCGUUUCUGGACCAUGGAGUGAAGCUUAUAAGCAUUUGUCUAUUGAGGAACUAAGCCAGUCAACUAAAGUUGGGGGUGAAACAUUCUCUCUCUCUCUCUCUCUCUCUCUCUCUCUCUCUCACACACACACGCGCGCGCGCGCGCGCGAAAGGGAGUGAUGCAGUUUUGACUCGAGGACCAUGAGCAUAUUAGGGAGGUAAGGGGAAUAAUAUAACACUUAUGGAUCCAUCAAUAUUAGUCAUAUUGUGCCAAUGCAGACAAUUGUGCUAUCAUGCAGCAGGAUAUCUUUUCCUUUCUUGGUAUUUAUCACCAGAUUCACAACAAACUGACUUUGGCUUAUCCCUUGGUAUGGAUCUGAUGCCCUGCAAUGAGUGUUAUUAUUUUCAUAAGCAAUAUGUAUCUAUCUAUUUCCCCGCGUAUGUUGCACUUCUCAAAUGAGUUUUAUGGUAUCUACUAUCUAGAACCUCAAAUGUGCCCCUUUGUGCAUAAACCUCCUCCUACGAGGGUGAUGAAUCUGCUCUAGAAUUUCAAUACUGAGAUUCAGAUCCAGUUCGUUGACGGAACCUGAUUCCCAUCGAUCUUCUCAAGCAUAUGAAUCCCAAAGUACUUAUUGAGAAGUUUUUAAAGCAAUGACCUGGUGAGGAAAUGUAUGGUUGGAACAGGGAACUUGUUUCUUGUGAUCUUGUCUGACCAAUUAUCCACAUGAUGCUUCAAAUGAGUUUUAUGGCUGCUAUUACCUGUUACAUUCAUCAUUUCUGAAACAGAGGAUUUGGUGAUUUCCAUGGGGUUUCUAUCUCUAUAAGUGCUGGUUAGCUUAUCAUAUGAUGGUGCUAUAAUUGCCCGGGGUGAAUCAAAUAUUGACAAUCCUAGAGUCUCAUGGCUAUAACAAUCAAAAUCUUGCUGUGGAGCAGACUAGUGCAAAACUGCAAAUAAAGAUGCAGCAGGCAUAUGCUAUUUCCAGAAACACUAACCUUUGGAUUAGGCUUUCAACGGAUGCUGGAUCACUUAGUUGGAUAGAAGAUGUUAGCCAAAGGCAAUCACACUUCGAAAUGGCCCUAGUCAGGUAUUGCAACAUUGCUCAUGUAUCAAUCUUCCUAUAAGUUCCUGAAUAACAAAUGAAAAUGAAAGAUGUCUCGUAGAUAUGUACCCUCUAUUGUUCUUAAAUUUUUUGGACCGGGAUUAAAAUUACAAAAAACAAGGCCUUGGAAUCCAACUAUGAAGUGAAAAAUUAAGUAAACAGGCAAUGGGGCAGAACUGCUCUUCCGAGGACCGUUUUCUACUGUUUCUGGGUAUCCUUGAAAAGUGAAUAUCACAAACCAUGUGUCCACAUAACUGAAAUCAAAUCUACUUUUGUGUUCACCGCUUGUUACUUGUUCUUGUUCCAUGGUUUGACGAUAGAUAAUACCACAAUUAUUGCUAUAACAAUCAGAAUAAUCAUGGCAAUACACAUGCAUUUUCUUGAUUUCUUUUGCAAGAUCUUUGCAGCUUGGAGGGCAUCUGUACCCGUGUGCACGUGGUCCACUGCACUUGUCACCUGCAACCAAGGGAGAGGAAAACAAUUGAUAUGGCAAUUGAUCUCUGAAAUUAAUAUCCUAGGAGUGAAUCAAUCCGUAGCAUAACAUGUCAUAAUCAUGAUAUGUUUAAGGAGCUAUGUACUUGUUCGAUGUAGAUUUCUAUGGUAAUUCGCUGAUGCAUCACACACAAUGGUAGGUGCCAAUUUGGUAGUGAUUUUCUUUCCCUUUUUUUUUUUUUGCUUUCUCUGUUUCCAAAUAUUCAGGGACUCAGGGAAAAUUCAACCCUACAUAAGUUUUUAGCCAAUUCUACCAAAUUUUGAUAA